rnacentral:rRNA from 1 species
GUUGUUGCAGUUAAAAAGCUUGUAGUUGAAUUUCGGGAUCAAUGUUUCGGUCAUGCCGUUGGUAUGUACUGAUAUUAUUGAUUUCUCACCUUCUAAAGAACCGUAAUGCCAUUAAUUUGGAGUCACGGGGAAUUAGGACUGUUACCUUGAAAAAAUCAGAGUGUUUAAAGCAGGCUCACGCUUGAAUACAUUAGCAUGGAAUAAUGAAAUAGGACAUCCGAUUCUAUUUUGUUGGUUUCUAGGAUCGAUGUAAUGAUUAAUAGGGAUAGUUGGGGGCAUUAGUAUUCAAUUGUCAGAGGUGAAAUUCUUGGAUUUAUUGAAGACUAACUACUGCGAAAGCAUUUGCCUAGGAUGUUUUCAUUAAUCAAGAACGAAAGUUAGGGGAUCGAAGACGAUCAGAUACCGUCGUAGUCUUAACCAUAAACUAUGCCGACUAGGGAUCGGAUGAUGUUAAUUUUUUAAUGACUCAUUCGGCGCCUUACGGGAAAC